rnacentral:rRNA from 1 species
GAGUGGCGGACGGGUGAGUAACGCGUGGGUAACCUGCCUCAUACAGGGGGAUAACAGUUAGAAAUGACUGCUAAUACCGCAUAAGACCACAGCACCGCAUGGUGCAGGGGUAAAAACUCCGGUGGUAUGAGAUGGACCCGCGUCUGAUUAGGUAGUUGGUGAGGUAACGGCCCACCAAGGCGACGAUCGGUAGCCGGACUGAGAGGUUGAACGGCCACAUUGGGACUGAGACACGGCCCAGACUCCUACGGGAGGCAGCAGUGGGGAAUAUUGCACAAUGGGGGAAACCCUGAUGCAGCGACGCCGCGUGGAGGAAGAAGGUCUUCGGAUUGUAAACUCCUGUUGUUGAGGAAGAUAAUGACGGUACUCAACAAGGAAGUGACGGCUAACUACGUGCCAGCAGCCGCGGUAAAACGUAGGUCACAAGCGUUGUCCGGAAUUACUGGGUGUAAAGGGAGCGCAGGCGGGAAGACAAGUUGGAAGUGAAAUCCAUGGGCUCAACCCAUGAACUGCUUUCAAAACUGUUUUUCUUGAGUAGUGCAGAGGUAGGCGGAAUUCCCGGUGUAGCGGUGGAAUGCGUAGAUAUCGGGAGGAACACCAGUGGCGAAGGCGGCCUACUGGGCACCAACUGACGCUGAGGCUCGAAAGUGUGGGUAGCAAACAGGAUUAGAUACCCUGGUAGUCCACACCGUAAACGAUGAUUACUAGGUGUUGGAGGAUUGACCCCUUCAGUGCCGCAGUUAACACAAAAAGUAAUCCACCUGGGGAGUACGACCGCAAGGUUGAAACUCAAAGAAAUUGACGGGGGCCCGCACAAGCAGUGGAGUAUGUGGUUUAAUUCGACGCAACGCGAAGAACCUUACCAAGUCUUGACAUCCCUUGACGAUGCUGGAAACAGUAUUUCUCUUCGGAGCAAGGAGACAGGUGGUGCAUGGUUGUCGUCAGCUCGUGUCGUGAGAUGUUGGGUUAAGUCCCGCAACGAGCGCAACCCUUAUGGUCAGUUACUACGCAAGAGGACUCUGGCCAGACUGCCGUUGACAAAACGGAGGAAGGUGGGGAUGACGUCAAAUCAUCAUGCCCUUUAUGACUUGGGCUACACACGUACUACAAUGGCGUUAAACAAAGAGAAGCAAGACCGCGAGGUGGAGCAAAACUCAGAAACAACGUCCCAGUUCGGACUGCAGGCUGCAACUCGCCUGCACGAAGUCGGAAUUGCUAGUAAUCGUGGAUCAGCAUGCCACGGUGAAUACGUUCCCGGGCCUUGUACACACCGCCCGUCA